UACGUAGGUGGCAAGCGUUGUCCGGAAUUAUUGGGCGUAAAGCGCGCGCAGGUGGUUCUUUAAGUCUGAUGUGAAAGCCCACGGCUCAACCGUGGAAGGUCAUUGGAAACUGGGGAACUUGAGUGCAGAAGAGGAAAGUGGAAUUCCAAGUGUAGCGGUGAAAUGCGUAGAUAUUUGGGAGGAACACCAGUGGCGAAGGCGACUUUCUGGUCUGUAACUGACACUGAGGCGCGAAAGCGUGGGGAGCAAACAGGGAUUAAGAUGACCCCUG
rnacentral:rRNA from 1 species